rnacentral:lncRNA from 1 species
AUGAUUGAUAGCCGCAACCUCUAACUGGAGCUCUUGUUCUUCUUUCCAGCCAGAGUCCUCUUAAGACUUCUCCUCUGGGUUUUGUGGCAGCAGUGGAAGUUAUGCAAAGCAGGACCCAAAGCCAGGAGCUGGAAUUUCAAAAAGAAGAAAAGUGAUAUGCGGCUGAUUUUGUACAUCAAAAACAUAAGGAAGAAGCCAUGCAUUCUCAAGUUGGCUUCACCCUGCCAGCAGCUUUUACACAUCACUGAAGCAGCUUCCAGUUUACUCGGUUGGCAAAGUGGAAAGAAAAAAGGAAUCAAAGAAGCACAAAUAAAUAUUAAAGCGUGUAAGAAUUAAGCAUUACCUACUUAAAUGGCAAUUAUGUUGCUGAAAACAAGAACAUCACACCUGUACAAGAAAAGACAUAUAAACUCCAAACAUCUGUUUGGAUCCACCUGCCAGGCACCUGUUUUGCUGUUUCAAUGCCAUUUGAUUGCUGGAGAUGUAGAGGCUCUUGUGAGAUUUGAGAUAUACAUCAAUAAAUGUGGCAUGACAGAAAAGAGUAAGAAUCACCUGGGAGUGAAAGAAAGAAAGAAAGAAAGAAAGAAAGAAAGAAAGAAAGAAAGAAAGAAAGAAAGAAAGAAAGAAAGAAAGAAAGAAAGAAAGAAAGAAAGAAAAGGCUAA